AUUUCCCCGGCUUUUUGCAGGGUGGGGAGGACAGAGAAGCUGCAGGGAGAGAUGAAGUUUUUUCCUUGAGGAUGAAAAGCUCUUAACCUUGCACGUUUGGCUUCUUCUAUUCAAUUUUUUUAAAAGCAGAGAUAGGGAGCUCACAGAAUCCUCCCCACAAAGCCGAGAAGCAGGAAGCAGCAACCCUCCCAGAUGAAGAAGCGAAGGCUCGGAAAAGCUAAGUAACUUCUCCAAGCUGACGCAGCUCGUGAGAGGAGGGACUGGGAUUCAAAUCCCUGCAGGGGGAGACCAGCAGCCCCGACUUCAGCCGCCAUGCCUCCUGCCUGAGAAGCUAGCUGCGAAGGUUCCAGAAGGAGACUGCCCUCCGGGAACAGAAACAGCGCAUGACUGCGACCUGUCUGCAAAAAUCUUGAUCACUUGUAAAUCCUUCUCCACCUGAUAAGUUAUCACAUUGGCUCAUGAUGUUUUUUUUCAUUCUCACCCUAUGGCGUGGAUGCUGUUACUACCCCAUUUUACAAAGGAGUAAAGUGAGGCCCAGAGAGAACAGUUAAAUCACUUCCCCAGCUUCACUCAACUCAUCUACGGUGAGUCGACGGUACACAUGCCCUUCCACAACACAAAGGUCUCCACUUUGCCACGUGUCACUCUGAUGGUUCCAGGUGCAGAUUUUGCGUCUGCUUCUUGACUUCUAAUGGCUGCACCAUUUUGCAUUGGAUGGUUAUACCAUCAUUUAUUUGACUCAUCUCCUGUGCACAAGCAUCUAGUUUAUCUGCAAACUUUUGCUACCAAAAACAAUGCUGCAAUGAAUAAAUAAGCUGAUGCCUGCUUCUAAGCGUGCGUGCAUGCUGUAAUGUGAGAUGAAUUCCCAGAAGUGGAGUGGCUGAGUCCAAGAGUAAAUGCAUUUUUCAUUUUGAUAGUAUCGCCAAAUGUCUUUCCAAAGGGGUUGUGCUGGAUCCCACUCCAGCUAGCAAUGUGUGAGAGCACCAAUCCCACCGCCCACUGCAGCACACAUAUUGACGUCGGCUAGUCCAAUACCAGCACAGGCAGCUGGGCCCCCUCGGGUGAUGCAGUGGGCAAAGUGCGCACUCAGCUCUGAGGUAUUGAGGAAACUGUCUCAUUGUGGUUGGGAUUCAUGUUUUCUUCCAUAAAUGGGACAGAGCAUCUUUUUAUAUGUCUGAAUUCAUUUCAACUGCUGUUCCUUCAACUAGACCAUUUUCUUACAAAUUGUGGGUUUAAGGGCUAGACAAGCAGGUUUAUUCCUCUCUCCCAAUGUUCUAACUGAAGGUAGAGUGGAAAAUUAUCUUCUCUAGGAAGAAAUGUACCACCACUCUGAAGAAUGAAAGAAAGCAAGCUAAAAAGGAGAGAGAGCAUGAAGAAGGAAGACAAAACUGAAGUUAGGUCAUGGAAACCAGAAGAGAUCCUGGGGCCACAUUGUGCACUUGAAUCUCAUUAUGGUCAAACCCUGUUGCAACAUUUCCCAAAAGACCAAGAAGGGGAAAACUCUGGAAGCUGGGGAAGGGAAAGUACUGACAGCCUGUGCCUGAGUGUGUGAGCAUGUGUGUGUGUGUGUGUGAGUGUGUGUGUAUCUUAGACUUGGACUACAAAAUUUAGAGAAAAAAGAGUAAGAAAGAAAAGAAAGAAAAAAUACAACACUUAAACAUUCCAUACAUAGAGGUCACAUAUGAAGGGACAAUGAAAUGGUGUCUUAGAAGAAUUUGGGGUCUUUGCAGGUGUGCCCCCUAGAACACCGCAUCGGUCUACAUCUGUGUUCUAGUCUCUGAAGAAAUCAUGUGGUUCUUCUGGUGCCCGCCGAGGAAUUUACUGGUAUUUAUGAAAAGAACAUGGCUUAGUUGCGUCUCUUCUGAUCUAACCCAUUUGGAACGUAACUUAGAAGGACAGUCCUGCGCAUCUUCUUGCGAAACUGUUCCAUAGUCCUCCCCUAGGAAGUCGUGCAGUUCUUGGAGACAUUUGGGCAACUCUUUAAUCUGCCUCAUCAGGGAGGGAGGGCACACAGGCCUGGGGUAGAAAAGGCCAGCCUCAUUUUUUUUUUUUUAUUGUGAUGAAAUUGCAAACUUACAUCCUGAGACUAAAAUUAAAUGGAGGAAAGCUCUGCCCGUCGUGGGUGGUCUUCCUCGGGCCCUUCGGAAGGAGGGGUCGGAUGGAGCAGGAGAGCACAUUUAGCAACAUUUCCAAUAGGGUAAUGACAGCAAUCAUGAUAGCUGUCCCCCUUGGGAGGGAGAAAUCACAAAAACCUACACAGUGACAAAAAUAAACAAGCGUGUAACGCCAGCAGAGGAGGCCUGGCCCGCUCUGAACUUGGAGAACAUCAAAGUGAAGCCAGUUAUCAGGCCGUCCAGGCUCCAGGCUCCUUCGCGUCCUGCUCAGUGCUUUUAUCAGCCGUUUGGACUUUGGAGGAGCCCAGAGGACGCUCGCUGAGCACAGCUGCGAGGAACAGACGUGCUGGACUGCAGAGUCUGAACAGAAAGGAUGCUCAGGCUGUGGCUGAUAAAUGGGAGGCACAGGAGGAAAUUUCACAGGGAUGAACAACCCUCCUCCAUUUAGAUUCCAAAAAUUCCAACCCAUGAAAAGAGCAGAGAGAGCCCGGACUGAAGUCAGGCAGAUCCGGGAAGGAAUCCAUACCUGCGCGUCCCCUGGGCAGCACAGGGUGGGAGGCCCCAGAUCCCUGGCUUCCUCACCUGCGGAAAGGAUGAGACUCGCCCAGCGUUCACCCAGUGAAUAUGCUUUCAGCCUCUGCUGGGUACCAGGCAUAGUUUUGGGCACUGGGAAUAAAGGGGUGAGGAAAUAGAAUUUUUAAAUUCCUAAAGAAAUCAGAUUUUUAAAAAUCCUUGUGGUGAUGGAAAUGUUCCGUAUCAUGAUAGUGGGGAUGAUACAGGAACCUACACAUGUAAUAAAUUGCAUAGAAACACACACACACACGCACGCACACACACACACCCCUGCAGGUUAAAAAUAAGAAACCGAGUAAAACGGGUGGAUUGAGUCAGUGUCAUUAUCCUGGUUGUAACAUUCUGUAGUUCUGCAAAAUGUUGCAGUUGGAGGAAACUAAAUGAAGUCUGCAUUGUAUCUCUCUGUAUUAUGUCUUAGAACCACCUGGGAAUCUACAAUGACCUCAAUACAAAUUUCAAUUAACAGAUAAAUACAUCAAAACCCCUGCCAUCCUGGAGCCCACGUUCCGUUGGGGAAUUUCCAAGGUAGACUCCAAUGAGACAGCAAGCUUGGGCCUCCCCCCCGCCCCGCUUCACAUCACCUGUCAGGGGACAGUGGGAGAUCAGUAAUGGCCAUUAUUAGCUACUUCGUGUCAGUCAGGGGCCUGCUCAACUGGAAGUAAAUGGCCGUUUAAACUGGGCUUUAAAUUGAAGCUGGCAUGAGAAGGCAAUCUUCCCAAAGGUGUGGCCCAGGUUGAGGGAAUGGCAGGAGGGGUAGCUGUGCAGGGAAGGAAGCCCCACGGGUAGGUGGGGUGGGGUGGGGCUGAAGAGGCCACCCAGCAGAGAGGCGACAAUUACCAUAGGCCAGGUAUCUUAUGAAACAGAAAUGUAUUCUGCCACAGGCCUGGAGGCGGGGGUCUGAAAUCAAGGUGUGGGCAGGGCUGUGCUCCCUGUGAAGGCACCAGGGGAGAACCCUUCCUGCCUCUUCCAGCUUCCCAAGGUUCCAGGUGUUCCCUGGCUUGUGCCUUCAUCCCUCCAACCUCUGCCUCUGUCUCCACAUGGCUGCCUUCUCUGUGUCUCUCUGUGUCCAUGUUUUCUCCUCUUCUGACUCUCUUGAGGGCACUUGUCAUUGGACUUAGGGCCCAUGCUAAUCCAGGAUGAUCGCAUCGCAAGAUCUUUAAUUACAUCUAUGCAGGCCCUUUUCCCCAAAUAAAGUCGUAUUCACAGGU